CCUACGGGUGGCAGCAGUGGGGAAUAUUGGUCAAUGGGCGCAAGCCUGACCCAGCAACGCCGCGUGAAGGAAGACGGCCCUCUGGGUUUAAACUUCUUUUAUCAAGGACGAAACAAAUGACGCUACUUGAUGAAUAAGCCACGGCUAACUACAUGCCAGCAGCCGCGGUAAUACGUAGGGGGCAGGCGUUAUUCGGGUUUACUGGGUGUAAAGGGCGUGUAGGGGGGACUGCAAGUCAGAUGUGAAAACCAUGGGCUCAAACCAUGGCCUGCAGUUGAAACUGUAGUUCUUGAGUGAUGGAGAGGCAGGCGGAAUUCGGUGUGUAGCGGUGAAGUGCGUAGAUAUACGGAGGAACACCAGUGGCGAAGGCGGCCUGCUGGACAAUAACUGACGCUGAGGCGCGAAAGCGUGGGGAGCAAACAGGAUUAGAUACCCUAGUAGUC
rnacentral:rRNA from 1 species